CAGUAGGGAAUCUUCCGCAAUGGGCGAAAGCCUGACGGAGCAACGCCGCGUGAGUGAUGAAGGUCUUCGGAUCGUAAAACUCUGUUAUUAGGGAAGAACAAAUGUGUAAGUAACUAUGCACGUCUUGACGGUACCUAAUCAGAAAGCCACGGCUAACUACGUGCCAGCAGCCGCGGUAAUACGUAGGUGGCAAGCGUUAUCCGGAAUUAUUGGGCGUAAAGCGCGCGUAGGCGGUUUUUUAAGUCUGAUGUGAAAGCCCACGGCUCAACCGUGGAGGGUCAUUGGAAACUGGAAAACUUGAGUGCAGAAGAGGAAAGUGGAAUUCCA
rnacentral:rRNA from 1 species